rnacentral:tRNA from 1 species
ACUUAAGUAGCUUAAAACAGAAAGCGCAGUGUUGAAGCCGCUGAAAUAACAUGGGUUCUUAAGUG